GACAUUUCCCCAACUAACUCCAUCUACUGAACUAACUAAGUACUGAAAUAUAAAAUAAUGAAAUAAUAACAUCCUCGAAUGAUGAGGACUCACUGCUAAAUCUGGUUGCUGAAAUUUGGAAUGCUACUGACGCUUUGGAUCUCGUGCUUCUGAACCUAAGUUAUAAAACACCAUAGCGCAAGAGAAAAGUAUGUGUCAGUACAUAAGAAUAUACUGGUAUGCAAAGUGGGGUAGGCUGAAUGCAUGGGGUUCAUAUGCAUGAACAAUACUAACUGACUGAACAACAUAAAUGUGAGAAUCAUGCAUGAAUAAGUAACUACUACUGAGUUCAU
rnacentral:lncRNA from 1 species